rnacentral:rRNA from 1 species
UACGAAGGGGGCUAGCGUUGCUCGGAAUUACUGGGCGUAAAGGGCGCGUAGGCGGACAGUUUAGUCAGAGGUGAAAGCCCAGGGCUCAACCUUGGAAUUGCCUUUGAUACUGUUAAUCUCGAGUCCGGGAGAGGUGAGUGGAAUUCCCAGUGUAGCGGUGAAAUGCGUAGAUAUUGGGAGGAACACCAGUGGCGAAGGCGGCUCACUGGACUGGUACUGACGCUGAGGCGCGAAAGCGUGGGGAGCAAACAGG